AAAUGGCGGUGUGUGGUGGUGGUAGACCUGUUGUAUUUGGGAUUUCACUGAGAGAAUAAGAAGGAAUCGACGAUGGACUGCUACGCAACUAUUGCACCAGUGAAGGAUGUCUGUGUGCCGGUUUGUGCACAAUUUCUCAGCCAGCGGGCCUGAGAAAGUGUGCCACAGCAGUCUGUGUAGUGGUGCUCUUUGUUCUGGAAGGACGCAAGCAUUGCUGAGAAGCCAUUUGACCUGCCGCCACACUAAUAUUGUAUUUGGCAAAGCCGAAGGCCUCUGCAAGCAGCCUGUCAUUCCAAGUCUCAACCAAUCCUUCCUCUAGUCAGC